UACAUGGGGUGCAAACGUUGCUCGGAAUUAUUGGGCGUAAAGCGCACGUAGGCGGUUCGUUAAGUCGGAUGUGAAAGCCCUCGGCUCAACUGAGGAAGUGCACCCGAAACUGGCGAGCUUGAGUACGAAAGAGGAUCGCGGAAUUCCCGGUGUAGAGGUGAAAUUCGUAGAUAGUCGGGAGGAACACCGGUGGCGAAGGCGGCGAUCUGGGUCGAUACUGACGCUGAGGUGCGAAAAGCGUGGGGAGCAAACAGG
rnacentral:rRNA from 1 species